rnacentral:tRNA from 8 species
GGUGUGGCUCAGUUUGGCUAGAGCGCCUGGUUUGGGACCAGGAGGUCGCAGGUUCGAAUCCUGUCACC